rnacentral:rRNA from 1 species
UACGUAGGGGGCUAGCGUUGUCCGGAAUCAUUGGGCGUAAAGCGCGCGUAGGCGGCCAGAUAAGUCCGGUGUGAAAGUCAAAGGCUCAACCUUUGAAUGCCGCUGGAAACUGUCUGGCUUGAGUCCGGAAGGGGCGAGUGGAAUUCCUGGUGUAGCGGUGAAAUGCGCAGAUAUCAGGAAGAACACCUAUGGCGAAGGCAGCUCUCUGGGACGGUACUGACGCUGAGACGCGAAAGCGUGGGGAGCGAACAGG